rnacentral:rRNA from 1 species
UAGAGUUUGAUCAUGGCUCAGAACGUACGCUGGCGGCACGCCUAACACAUGCAAGUCGAACGAAGUAGCAAUACUUAGUGGCAGACGGGUGAGUAACAUGUGGGUAUCUACCCUUUGGCCUGGAAUAACACGAGGAAACUUGUGCUAAUACCGGAUAAGUCUUUACGGAGAAAGCUUUAUGCACCAUUGGAUGAGCCCGCACUUGAUUAGUUUGUUGGUAGGGUAAUGGCCUACCAAGACUAUGAUCAAUAGCUGAUUUGAGAGGAUGAUCAGCCACAUUGGGACUGAGACACGGCCCAAACUCCUACGGGAGGCAGCAGUGGGGAAUCUUGCACAAUGGAGGAAACUCUGAUGCAGCGAUGCCGCGUGAGUGAAGAAGGCCUUUGGGUUGUAAAGCUCUUUCGUCGGGGAAGAAAAUGACUGUACCCGAAUAAGAAGGUCCGGCUAACUUCGUGCCAGCAGCCGCGGUAAUACGAAGGGACCUAGCGUAGUUCGGAAUUACUGGGCUUAAAGAGUUCGUAGGUGGUUGAAAAAGUUAGUGGUGAAAUCCCAGAGCUUAACUCUGGAACUGCCAUUAAAACUUUUCAGCUAGAGUAUGAUAGAGGAAAGCAGAAUUUCUAGUGUAGAGGUGAAAUUCGUAGAUAUUAGAAAGAAUACCAAUUGCGAAGGCAGCUUUCUGGAUCAUUACUGACACUGAGGAACGAAAGCAUGGGUAGCGAAGAGGAUUAGAUACCCUCGUAGUCCAUGCCGUAAACGAUGUGUGUUAGACGUUGGAAAUUUAUUUUCAGUGUCGCAGGAAACCGAUAAACACACCGCCUGGGGGAGUACGACCGCAAGGUUAAAACUCAAAUGAAUUGACGGGGACCCGCACAAGUAGUGG